UACGUAGGGUGCAAGCGUUAAUCGGAAUUACUGGGCGUAAAGCGUGCGCAGGCGGUUGUGCAAGACAGAUGUGAAAUCCCCGGGCUUAACCUGGGAACUGCAUUUGUGACUGCACAGCUGGAGUGCGGCAGAGGGGAUGGAAUUCCGCGUGUAGCAGUGAAAUGCGUAGAUAUGCGGAGGAACACCGAUGGCGAAGGCAAUCCCCUGGGCCUGCACUGACGCUCAUGCACGAAAGCGUGGGGAGCAAACAGG
rnacentral:rRNA from 1 species